UACGUAGGGCGCAAGCGUUGUCCGGAAUUAUUGGGCGUAAAGAGCUCGUAGGCGGCUUGUCGCGUCGGAUGUGAAAGCCCGGGGCUUAACCCCGGGUCUGCAUUCGAUACGGGCAGGCUAGAGUUCGGUAGGGGAGAUCGGAAUUCCUGGUGUAGCGGUGAAAUGCGCAGAUAUCAGGAGGAACACCGGCGGCGAAGGCGGCUCUCUGGGCCGAUACUGACGCUGAGGAGCGAAAGCGUGGGGAGCGAACAGG
rnacentral:rRNA from 1 species